rnacentral:rRNA from 1 species
UGGGGAAUAUUGGACAAUGGGCGAAAGCCUGAUCCAGCCAUGCCGCGUGUGUGAAGAAGGUCUUCGGAUUGUAAAGCACUUUAAGUUGGGAGGAAGGGCAUUAACCUAAUACGUUAGUGUUUUGACGUUACCGACAGAAUAAGCACCGGCUAACUCUGUGCCAGCAGCCGCGGUAAUACAGAGGGUGCAAGCGUUAAUCGGAAUUACUGGGCGUAAAGCGUGCGUAGGUGGUUUGUUAAGUUGGAUGUGAAAGCCCCGGGAUCAACCUGGGAACUGCAUCCAAAACUGGCAAGCUAGAGUACGGUAGAGGGUGGUGGAAUUUCCUGUGUAGCGGUGAAAUGCGUAGAUAUAGGAAGGAACACCAGUGGCGAAGGCGACCACCUGGACUGAUACUGACACUGAGGUGCGAAAGCGUGGGGAGCAAACA